CCUACGGGUGGCUGCAGUGAGGAAUAUUGGUCAAUGGACGCAAGUCUGAACCAGCCAUGCCGCGUGCAGGAAGACGGCUCUAUGAGUUGUAAACUGCUUUUGUACGAGGGUAAACGCAGCUACGUGUAUAUGUCUGAAAGUAUCGUACGAAUCAGGAUCGGCUAACUCCGUGCCAGCAGCCGCGGUAAUACGGAGGAUUCAAGCGUUAUCCGGAUUUAUUGGGGUUAAAGGGUGCGUAGGCGGUCGGAUAAGUUAGAGGUGAAAUCCCGGGGCUCAACUUCGGAAUUGCCUCUGGAAGUGUUCGGCAAGAGGGUAGUUGCGGUAGGCGGAAUGGAUGGUGGAGCGGUGAAAUG
rnacentral:rRNA from 1 species